rnacentral:lncRNA from 1 species
CAAACUAUAUGCAAGAUAUGAUUUGCAGCAGGCCAAGUUUACGAGCAUAUUCCAUCCACGCCAGGGACUUACAACCUUACGACUUUUCAAGGUGCGCCAGAGGGUUGCAUCCUGUACUGCAAAUCAUGUUCUGCUUAAAUUAUAUGCAAGUAUUUGAUAAAGCCAAAAUGAAAUAGAAAAUAUGGAAAUUCGUAAGUACAAAAUGUACAAAAUGUAUGUAUGUCAUUUGGGAAGGCAUAAAUUUAUUUUUUUAAAGAAAAACAUGUAUAUAAU